AGUCAAGAAAGUCAACUAGCUCUUUGUGAAGAAUUCAGGAAAUUGAAUCUAGAACUUGUUCCCCAAGGCUAUCUUGCAAACUUGGUGGUCACACAAAUUCGUGAGGAUAAGAUACGAACCGGACAGUUAAGAGAUGGUUGUAUCAAAAACAUCAAAGAGAACAUGCAAAAGCCAAAGUACAAGUCUUUCUCUAUCAACUUCAAGGAACUUUGUUCUUCCAAGGUCGAAUCAUUGUUCCGAAGGAUCCAAACCUGAGAAGCUUCAUUCUCAAAGAAGCUCAUGACACUCCUCUCUCUAUCCACCCUGGAAGCACAAAGAUGUAUCUCGAUAUCAAGACAACCUAUUGGUGGACUAGAAUGGAAAGUGAUAUUGCUCGAUAUGUCUCGGAAUGUGAUGUAUGUCGCCGUGUCAAGGCAGAACAUCAAAGACCUGCUGGUAUCCUACAACCCCUGAAGAUUCCUAAGUGGAAAUGGGAUAAUGUUGAGAUGGACUUCAUAACUGGCUUUCCAAAGUAUGGCAAAGGCAAUGAUGCUAUCUUUGUAGUGAUCGACCGUCUUUCCAAGGUUGCUCACUUCCUUCCUGUCAAAGAAACAAUCUCUGCUAGUCAGUUGGCUGAGCUCGCAUAUAUCGUCUCUCUUCAUGGUGUUCCCUUGGAAAUAAGCUCGCAUCACGGAAGCAUCUUCACUUCCAGAUUUUGGGAAAGCUUUCAGAAGGCUAUGGAAACUAAUCUGCUCUUCAGCACAACUUAUCAUCCGCAAACGAGUGGUCAAGUUGAAAGUGUCAAUCAGAUCCUCGAAAACAUGCUCCGUGCUUGUGUAAUCUGAUUCGGCAUGAAAUGGGAAGAACGCCUUCCAUUCGCUAAAUUCUCCUACAAUAAUAGCUAUCAAGCCAGUUUGGGCAUGGCACCUUUUGAAGCUCUUUAUGGUCGCAAAUGCAGAACACCUCUAAACUGGUCUGAAACCGGUGAAAGGAAAAUCUUUAGCCCUGAUGUAAUCAACGAUGCUGAAGAAAAGGAUUUGAUGUAGCGGAUGGCUUCUCUGGGUACCCUUUGCACUUUAAGGCUGCAAGUUCCUGUGGUGUAGAUAUCACCUUCCAGCUUCACACGGCCAACAACAAAAAGGAAGAUAUUUUCUGUUCCAUUCUCCCCAUUAACCACUUAAACAGUAUGUGUUAUAUGUCACCAACACUAGCUUCUGCACACCCUAAGAAACACCAGCAUGGAAGGCUGCAUCAACCACUUAAGUAAACCUUUCUUUUUGUUGGCCCAGAUGUAUGACAUGCAAUUCACAUUCAGGGGUCUAACGCCACUUAAGUAAACCUUUCUUUUUUUUGGCCUAGAUGUAUGACAUGCAAUUCACAUUCAGGGGUCUAACGGCGGUGAUGUUAGGCAUGAGGAUUUAAAUGACAUCUUGAUUUCUUCUAUUGAUGUAGGCCUACACCUAGCUAAAGAAGGCUGAGGGGAAGCUGGACGAGCAGCAUGCCAAGGCGGUGGAGGACGAACGACAUAGCAAAGAUGCGGCGCAAUUCAGAGGAUAAGUCGGUAUGGUUGGCUGCAGCAUGCAAGGAUUUUGGAGCAGACCAGCCUCAUGAAGGACGUCCGCAGGGUGCCCACCAGGCUCUCCUUCUUCGCGUGGUCACAGCGCCACCUCUGCCUAGAGCGAGUGCAAGUGUCCAUUGCUUGAUGUGUUCAUACAUGCUGAUACAACUCUAGGUGGAACACUUUCUGACUAUGUAUUGCUAUGGAUCAAGAUCAUGUUCAAAGGCUCAGCUGGAGGGUUUUGCAGUUGAUGGUUCCGUUUUUCCAAUGCGUAAGUAUAUAGAAGAGGUGGUUCGCUGAUAGACAGAAUGGGCUUGGUUAGAUGGAGUCGCCAUAUAGCCAGUGCUCUGUUUUCUGUACUUUUCCAGCCAAUGUAUUAAAGGCUGUCCUUUUUUUGUUAGCAGUUAUUGUCUAUGGUUGCACUCAAUAAGUACAUCAAAGGCUGCUUUUUUUUUUGUUUCCUGUUGUUAUAAGGCUUCUUCUCUUAUUAUUCCAGGGGAGUUAGUUUACGUGGGCACAACUUGUAUGAGAUCUGAACCUGAAGUGAGAUCAAAGGAUUACGUAUUAUAGACCAUCGGAUGUAAAACCUGUGGUACA